rnacentral:tRNA from 1 species
GCGGAUGUAGCCAAGUGGU